UUCGCAAUGCCCGAAAGGGUGACGAAGCGACGCCGCGUGUGGGAAGAAGGCCUUCGGGUUGUAAACCACUGUCGGGAGUUAAGAAGUGUAGGGGGUUAAUAGUCUCCUUGCUUGACGUUAGCUCCGGAGGAAGCCACGGCUAACUCUGUGCCAGCAGCCGCGGUAAUACAGAGGCGGCAAGCGUUGUUCGGAAUUAUUGGGCGUAAAGAGCACGUAGGCGGCCCUGCAAGUCAGCUGUGAAAUCCUUCUGCUCAACGGAAGAACGGCAGUUGAUACUAUAGGGCUCGAGUGCGGGAGGGGAGAGUGGAACUUCUGGUGGAGCGGUGAAAUGCGUAGAUAUCAGAAGGAACAUCGGCGGCGAAGGCGACUCUCUGGCCCGUAACUGACGCUGAGGUGCAAAGCUAGGGGAGCAAACGGGAUUAGAUACCCCGGUAGUCCUAGCCGUAAACGAUGGGCACUAAGUAGAGGGGUUUUA
rnacentral:rRNA from 1 species